GUGGGGAAUUUUGGACAAUGGGCGCAAGCCUGAUCCAGCAAUGCCGCGUGCAGGAAGAAGGCCUUCGGGUUGUAAACUGCUUUUGUACGGAACGAAACGGUCCGGGUUAAUACCCUGGGCUAAUGACGGUACCGUAAGAAUAAGCACCGGCUAACUACGUGCCAGCAGCCGCGGUAAUACGUAGGGUGCGAGCGUUAAUCGGAAUUACUGGGCGUAAAGCGUGCGCAGGCGGUUUUGUAAGACAGGCGUGAAAUCCCCGGGCUCAACCUGGGAAUUGCGCUUGUGACUGCAAGGCUGGAGUGCGGCAGAGGGGGAUGGAAUUCCGCGUGUAGCAGUGAAAUGCGUAGAUAUGCGGAGGAACACCGAUGGCGAAGGCAAUCCCCUGGGCCUGCACUGACGCUCAUGCACGAAAGCGUGGAGAGCAAACAGGAUUAGAUACCCGGGUAGUCC
rnacentral:rRNA from 1 species